rnacentral:rRNA from 1 species
CAACUUGAGAGUUUGAUCCUGGCUCAGAACGAACGCUGGCGGCAGGCUUAACACAUGCAAGUCGAGCGAUCCCUUCGGGGAUAGCGGCGGACGGGUGAGUAACGCGUGGGAACGUACCCUUUUCUACGGAAUAGCCUCGGGAAACUGGGAGUAAUACCGUAUAAGCCCCCUCAAUCAAAUUUCAUUUGAUUGCUAUUUUUCGAUCUUGUCGAAUAUCGGAUGAGAUUUGAUGGGGGGGGAAAGAUUUAUCGGGAAAGGAUCGGCCCGCGUUGGAUUAGGUAGUUGGUGGGGUAAAGGCCUACCAAGCCUACGAUCCAUAGCUGGUUUGAGAGGAUGAUCAGCCACACUGGGACUGAGACACGGCCCAGACUCCUACGGGAGGCAGCAGUGGGGAAUCUUAGACAAUGGGGGCAACCCUGAUCUAGCCAUGCCGCGUGAUCGAUGAAGGCCUUAGGGUUGUAAAGAUCUUUCAGUGGGGAAGAUAAUGACGGUACCCACAGAAGAAGCCCCGGCUAACUCCGUGCCAGCAGCCGCGGUAAUACGGAGGGGGCUAGCGUUGUUCGGAAUUACUGGGCGUAAAGCGCACGUAGGCGGAUCGGAAAGUUGGGGGUGAAAUCCCGGGGCUCAACCCCGGAACUGCCUUCAAAACUCCCGGUCUUGAGUUCGAGAGAGGUGAGUGGAAUUCCGAGUGUAGAGGUGAAAUUCGUAGAUAUUCGGAGGAACACCAGUGGCGAAGGCGGCUCACUGGCUCGAUACUGACGCUGAGGUGCGAAAGUGUGGGGAG